rnacentral:rRNA from 1 species
CAGCCGCCGCGGUAAUACGUAGGGGGCGAGCGUUGUCCGGAUUUACUGGGCGUAAAGCGCGUGUAGGUGGCGGCUUAAGUCGGGUGUGAAAGCCCGGGGCUCAACCCCGGGAUGCCGCUCGAGACUGGGUCGCUUGAGGACGGCAGAGGGGCGUGGAAUUCCUGGUGUAGCGGUGAAAUGCGUAGAGAUCAGGAGGAACACCCGUGGCGAAGGCGGCGCCCUGGGCCGACCCUGACACUGAGACGCGAAAGCGCGGGGAGCGAACGGGAUUAGAUACCCCGGUAGUCCGCGCCGUAAACGAUGGUCACUAGGUGUGCGUGGUAUCGACCCCACGCGUGCCGGCGCUAACGCAUUAAGUGACCCGCCUGGGGAGUACGGCCGCAAGGUUGAAACUCAAAUGAAUUGACGG